UACGUAGGGGGCAAGCGUUGUCCGGAAUCAUUGGGCGUAAAGAGCGUGUAGGCGGCUCGGUAAGUCCGCUCUGAAAGCCCGGGGCUCAACCCCGGGAGGCGGGCGGAUACUGUCGAGCUAGAGUCCGGAAGAGGCGAGUGGAAUUCCUGGUGUAGCGGUGAAAUGCGCAGAUAUCAGGAGGAACACCAAUGGCGAAGGCAGCUCGCUGGGACGGUACUGACGCUGAGACGCGAAAGCGUGGGGAGCAAACAGG
rnacentral:rRNA from 2 species